rnacentral:rRNA from 1 species
ACUGAGACACGGCCCAGACUCCUACGGGAGGCAGCAGUGGGGAAUAUUGGACAAUGGGCGAAAGCCUGAUCCAGCCAUGCCGCGUGUGUGAAGAAGGCCUUUUGGUUGUAAAGCACUUUAAGUGGGGAGGAAAAGCUUAUGGUUAAUACCCAUAAGCCCUGACGUUACCCACAGAAUAAGCACCGGCUAACUCUGUGCCAGCAGCCGCGGUAAUACAGAGGGUGCAAGCGUUAAUCGGAAUUACUGGGCGUAAAGCGCGCGUAGGUGGUUAUUUAAGUCAGAUGUGAAAGCCCCGGGCUUAACCUGGGAACUGCAUCUGAUACUGGAUAACUAGAGUAGGUGAGAGGGGAGUAGAAUUCCAGGUGUAGCGGUGAAAUGCGUAGAGAUCUGGAGGAAUACCGAUGGCGAAGGCAGCUCCCUGGCAUCAUACUGACACUGAGGUGCGAAAGCGUGGGUAGCAAACAGGAUUAGAUACCCUGGUAGUCCACGCCGUAAACGAUGUCUACCAGUCGUUGGGUCUUUUAAAGACUUAGUGACGCAGUUAACGCAAUAAGU